rnacentral:rRNA from 1 species
UGGGGAAUAUUGCACAAUGGGCGCAAGCCUGAUGCAGCCAUGCCGCGUGUGUGAAGAAGGCCUUCGGGUUGUAAAGCACUUUCAGCGGGGAGGAAGGCGAUAAGGUUAAUAACCUUGUCGAUUGACGUUACCCGCAGAAGAAGCACCGGCUAACUCCGUGCCAGCAGCCGCGGUAAUACGGAGGGUGCAAGCGUUAAUCGGAAUUACUGGGCGUAAAGCGCACGCAGGCGGUCUGUCAAGUCGGAUGUGAAAUCCCCGGGCUCAACCUGGGAACUGCAUUCGAAACUGGCAGGCUAGAGUCUUGUAGAGGGGGGUAGAAUUCCAGGUGUAGCGGUGAAAUGCGUAGAGAUCUGGAGGAAUACCGGUGGCGAAGGCGGCCCCCUGGACGAAGACUGACGCUCAGGUGCGAAAGCGUGGGGAGCAAACAGG